AUGGAGCCGCCUUGGAUCUGCUGGGGUGCACGUCGCGGGCGUGCAGAGGGCCCGGGCGGCAGCAGCGCAAGGGGACCGUGCAGAGGCAUGGCGGCGGCGCGGGGUGGCCCAGCUGGCGCGGAUCUGCCGUGUGUGGGUCGUGCCGAGGCGACAGGGAGGCUGCGGCAGGGAAGCUCGGCAGGCAGGCGUGAGGGGCUGCGGCUCAGGCGAGGACGGGCAAGGAGGCUCGGCGGAUGUGCGCAGGAGGUCUGCGCAGCACGGAUCUGCGGCCGGGUGGCCACCUGCUCCGGCGUGGUGGAGGCCCGUCAUGGUGUUGCUGCUCUGGCGGGGCGCGUGGUGGAGGGGCUCGGGCUGCCUGUUUGGCGCUCGGGCGGCGGCUUCGGCUGA
rnacentral:rRNA from 1 species